rnacentral:rRNA from 1 species
GACGAACGCUGGCGGCGUGCCUAAUACAUGCAAGUAGAACGCUGAAGAGAGGAGCUUGCUCUUCUUGGAUGAGUUGCGAACGGGUGAGUAACGCGUAGGUAACCUGCCUUGUAGCGGGGGAUAACUAUUGGAAACGAUAGCUAAUACCGCAUAACAAUGGAUGACACAUGUCAUUUAUUUGAAAGGGGCAAUUGCUCCACUACAAGAUGGACCUGCGUUGUAUUAGCUAGUAGGUGAGGUAACGGCUCACCUAGGCGACGAUACAUAGCCGACCUGAGAGGGUGAUCGGCCACACUGGGACUGAGACACGGCCCAGACUCCUACGGGAGGCAGCAGUAGGGAAUCUUCGGCAAUGGGGGCAACCCUGACCGAGCAACGCCGCGUGAGUGAAGAAGGUUUUCGGAUCGUAAAGCUCUGUUGUAAGUCAAGAACGAGUGUGAGAGUGGAAAGUUCACACUGUGACGGUAGCUUACCAGAAAGGGACGGCUAACUACGUGCCAGCAGCCGCGGUAAUACGUAGGUCCCGAGCGUUGUCCGGAUUUAUUGGGCGUAAAGCGAGCGCAGGCGGUUUGAUAAGUCUGAAGUUAAAGGCUGUGGCUCAACCAUAGUUCGCUUUGGAAACUGUCAAACUUGAGUGCAGAAGGGGAGAGUGGAAUUCCAUGUGUAGCGGUGAAAUGCGUAGAUAUAUGGAGGAACACCGGUGGCGAAAGCGGCUCUCUGGCUUGUAACUGACGCUGAGGCUCGAAAGCGUGGGGAGCAAACAGGAUUAGAUACCCGGGUAGUCCACGCCGUAAACGAUGAGUGCUAGGUGUUAGACCCUUUCCGGGGUUUAGUGCCGUAGCUAACGCAUUAAGCACUCCGCCUGGGGAGUACGACCGCAAGGUUGAAACUCAAAGGAAUUGACGGGGGCCCGCACAAGCGGUGGAGCAUGUGGUUUAAUUCGAAGCAACGCGAAGAACCUUACCAGGUCUUGACAUCCCUCUGACCGCUCUAGAGAUAGAGUUUUCCUUCGGGACAGAGGUGACAGGUGGUGCAUGGUUGUCGUCAGCUCGUGUCGUGAGAUGUUGGGUUAAGUCCCGCAACGAGCGCAACCCCUAUUGUUAGUUGCCAUCAUUCAGUUGGGCACUCUAGCGAGACUGCCGGUAAUAAACCGGAGGAAGGUGGGGAUGACGUCAAAUCAUCAUGCCCCUUAUGACCUGGGCUACACACGUGCUACAAUGGUUGGUACAACGAGUCGCAAGCCGGUGACGGCAAGCUAAUCUCUUAAAGCCAAUCUCAGUUCGGAUUGUAGGCUGCAACUCGCCUACAUGAAGUCGGAAUCGCUAGUAAUCGCGGAUCAGCACGCCGCGGUGAAUACGUUCCCGGGCCU